rnacentral:rRNA from 1 species
AUUGAACGCUGGCGGCAGGCUUAACACAUGCAAGUCGAGCGGAGACUUCGGUCUUAGCGGCGAACGGGUGAGUAAUACCUAGGAAUCUGCCUAUUAGUGGGGGAUAACGAAUCGAAAGGUUCGCUAAUACCGCAUACGUCCUACGGGAGAAAGGGGGGAGUCUUUGGACCUCUCGCUAAUAGAUGAGCCUAGGCCGGAUUAGCUAGUUGGUAGGGUAAAGGCCUACCAAGGCGACGAUCGGUAGCUGGUCUGAGAGGACGACCAGCCACACUGGAACUGAGACACGGUCCAGACUCCUACGGGAGGCAGCAGUGGGGAAUAUUGGACAAUGGGCGCAAGCCUGAUCCAGCCAUG